rnacentral:rRNA from 1 species
GACUCGUUUCCCCCUCUCUCUGGCCGUGCACUGAAAAUGAUUUACAUCCCACGCAAACACAUUAGACGAAGGUCGGCUGUUUUUCAAAAACAUAGCCUUUAGCAACACAAGUAUUAAAGGUCCCGCCUGCCCAGUGAGAUUUAUUUUUAACGGCCGCGGUAUUCUAACCGUGCAAAGGUAGCGUAGUCACUUGUCUUCUAAAUAAAGACUAGUAUGAACGGCUAAAUGAGGAUAAGACUGUCUCUUAUAAUUAAUCAGUGAAACUGACCUUCCAGUACAAACGCUGGAAUAAACACAUAAGACGAGAAGACCCCGUGGAGCUUAAAACAAACCACUAACACAUUACAGCCUAGUGUACUGUUUUCAGUUGGGGCGACUUCGGAAUAAAACAAAACUUCCGAGCACAGAACCACCACUUCCCACUAAGGCCAACAAGCCAAAGUACAACCUGACCCGGCUCCAUUGCCGAUCAACGAACCAAGUUACCCCGGGGAUAACAGCGCUAUCUUCUUCAAGAGUCCCUAUCAACAAGAAGGUUUACGACCUCGAUGUUGGAUCAGGACACCCAAAUGGUGCAUCCGCUAUUAAAGGUUCGUUUGUUCAACGAUUAACAGUCCUACGUGAUCUGAGUUCCAACCCGGACCCUCAUGAUCUGAUUUCAAACCGGCGGAGUAAAGAUUUUUUUAAAAAAAAAGCACAAGACCAAUAGAUAAAUUAAUAAAUAUUCGU